CAUGCUGUCAAGUUCGCUUGAAGCACGUGUUUUCCAGUAAUGACGUUGGGAAAGCAGUCUUGACAACUUCCUUAAACGUUUGUUCAAGUACAUAAUGUAUUUAACUUAAGUUUUGUGCGCUUUCGUUGACAAAAAUAGGAUAUAACAUCACGGAUUUACAGAUCUUGUCAGUCACCAUGGUGUAGGGGUGACUUAUGAAUUGUGAAUUUUUGAAGAACCCAUCCAAUAAAGGAAGUUUACAGCAGCCAAAAGAAAUUAUGAUGUGGGUAACAAAGAACUCUUGUCCAUGAAAGCAGCAAUCAAAAAGCUGCGUCUCUGGCUAAAGGGAGCCGUACACCCAU